CUUUGAUCUGAUAACUGACGUCACUAAAGACGUGGUGGCGGGAAGGUUGUGUUUAGAGUGUUCACAUAAGUAAUUGUUUUGUAUUUCAGACUAAUUCGAUUCAACUCAGUCAACUUAAGGAAGAAAACAAAAUUACAACUUCAUUGUUGAAAAAGGAUGAGAAUAUUUUCGUCUAUGGACUACCAGAUAAUUUUCCCGUUCAAUUACCCGUCAGUUGUCGAAAGGAUUUCGAUCUUUUAGAAAAAUAUCUAGAAUCUUCAAGAUAUACUGCUCAGCUGAGAUUGUAUUUUUCUCGUCAAGGUGGGAAAAAUUUCAUAUCAACUACAAACAGAAUAUUAAGAAGUAUUUUAACCGAUGAAGUUGCUAGCAAUUUCAAUUUUUAUGGAAAAAGGUCGGUUAAAUUCCUUUCAGCAACACCUCAACAAAAAAUGUUAUUGUAGGAGCAGUAAAGGAAGUCACCAAUUCAAGGAAUGAUAGAAAAAUUGAGGACGCCAUAAAAGUUUGGCUGAAGCACGCUCCACAACGCCUAAAAACCACAUUGUCAAAAAAAGCAUAAAUUUUCACUUGAUAAGUAAACAAUGAAUAUGUACCAGAUGAUGUUUUUAUAUAUGUUAAUAAACUCAAACUUUCACGAACUUGAUGUAGUUUGUUGCCAUAGUAUAAUUUUAAUCCUGAAUCUUAGAAUGUUUAUUUUGAAUAGAAAAAGUGAAUAUGUCACUGAAUUACGAAUUAUGAAUAUAAAUGUUUGUUAACUUUAUUAAGUUGAACAUCGUUCAGAAGCAAUGUUGAAAACGUGUUCUGAGUGCAGUGUUUAUGCGAAAUUUUCAAUUUUCGCAUAUAUUAUAUUUGUUUGGGUGAACUUUCCUUCAAUUUUUUUUACGUAGUGAUAUUUUUGUUAUAAAAGGUGUGUCGAGUUACCAGUGCCAUCGGAUUGGUAUAGGAGCCAUUUUUUUUUGCGGGAAAUGUGGAAAACAGUUCAAAACCAAGAAAACAUUGCGUCAACAUGACAGGUUCUAUUGUGACACCCAACCAUCAUUUAAGUGUCCACGAUGUCCAUAUAGGGCUCAAACUUCAGGAAACCUAAGAAGACAUCAGUUUCAGCUUUCACAUUGCAAUAAGAAGAAAUUAUCGAGAAUCUGAAUGUAUCCAUUGUUAUAUCAAUUUUGAGUUGAAUAUAGGGCUGAACAAUUUA
rnacentral:lncRNA from 1 species